GAGUUUGAUCAUGGCUCAGAUUGAACGCUGGCGGCAUGCUUUACACAUGCAAGUCGAACGGUAACAGGGAGCUUGCUCCGCUGACGAGUGGCGAACGGGUGAGUAAUGCGUCGGAACGUGCCGAGUAGUGGGGGAUAACGCAUCGAAAGGUGUGCUAAUACCGCAUACGAACUGAGGUUGAAAGUGGGGGACCUUCGGGCCUCACGCUAUUCGAGCGGCCGACGUCUGAUUAGCUAGUAGGUGAGGUAAAGGCUCACCUAGGCGACGAUCAGUAGCGGGUCUGAGAGGAUGAUCCGCCACACUGGGACUGAGACACGGCCCAGACUCCUACGGGAGGCAGCAGUGGGGAAUUUUGGACAAUGGGCGCAAGCCUGAUCCAGCCAUGCCGCGUGUCUGAAGAAAGCCUUCGGGUUGUAAAGGACUUUUGUCUGGGAGCAAAU
rnacentral:rRNA from 1 species